GUGGGGAAUAUUGCACAAUGGGCGAAAGCCUGAUGCAGCAACGCCGCGUGAGUGAUGAAGGUCUUCGGAUUGUAAAGCUCUGUCUUUUGGGACGAUAAUGACGGUACCAAAGGAGGAAGCCACGGCUAACUACGUGCCAGCAGCCGCGGUAAUACGUAGGUGGCAAGCGUUGUCCGGAUUUACUGGGCGUAAAGGGUGCGUAGGCGGAUAUUUAAGUGGGAUGUGAAAACCCCGGGCUUAACUUGGGGACUGCAUUCCAAACUGGAUAUCUAGAGUGCGGGAGAGGAAAGUGGAAUUCCUAGUGUAGCGGUGAAAUGCGUAGAGAUUAGGAAGAACCCCAGUGGCGAAGGCGACUUUCUGGACCGUAACUGACGCUGAGGCACGAAAGCGUGGGGAGCAAACAGGAUUAGAAACCCUUGUAGUCC
rnacentral:rRNA from 1 species